rnacentral:misc_RNA from 1 species
AACCAUAGAAACCUGCGGAGUACCUGCGGAGGGAUCAUUACCGAGUUUACAACUCCCAAACCCCUGUGAACAUACCACUUGUUGCCUCGGCGGAUCAGCCCGCUCCCGGUAAAACGGGACGGCCCGCCAGAGGACCCCUAAACUCUGUUUCUAUAUGUAACUUCUGAGUAGAACCAUAAAUAAAUCAAAACUUUCAGCAAUGGAUCU